rnacentral:rRNA from 1 species
GAUGAACGCUGGCGGCGUGCCUAAUACAUGCAAGUCGAGCGAACAGACGAGGAGCUUGCUCCUCUGACGUUAGCGGCGGACGGGUGAGUAACACGUGGAUAACCUACCUAUAAGACUGGGAUAACUUCGGGAAACCGGAGCUAAUACCGGAUAAUAUAUUGAACCGCAUGGUUCAAUAGUGAAAGACGGUUUUGCUUUCACUUAUAGAUGGAUCCGCGCCGCAUUAGCUAGUUGGUAAGGUAACGGCUUACCAAGGCAACGAUGCGUAGCCGACCUGAGAGGGUGAUCGGCCACACUGUAACUGAGACACGGUCCAGACUCCUACGGGAGGCAGCAGUAGGGAAUCUUCCGCAAUGAGCGAGAGCCUGACGGAGCAACGCCGCGUGAAUGAUGAAGGUCUUCGGAUCGUAAAACUCUGUUAUUAGGGAAGAACAAAUGUGUAAGUACCUAUGCACGUCUUGACGGUACCUAAUCAGAAAGCCACGGCUAACUACGUG